AUGAAAUGACUCUCGGCAACGGAUAUCUCGGCUCUUGCAUCGAUGAAGAACGUAGCGAAAUGCGAUACUUGGUGUGAAUUGCAGAAUCCCGUGAACCAUCGAGUCUUUGAACGCAAGUUGCGCCCGAAGCCAUUAGGUUGAGGGCACGCCUGCCUGGGUGUCACAC
rnacentral:rRNA from 1 species